AAUAGUGUCUGCUGUUGAAAGCUAGGUGGGGCUGUGCCUGGUUAGUACUUGGAUGGGAGACCAACUUGAAAGACCAGGGGCCGCUAUCC
rnacentral:rRNA from 12 species